AAGGCUAAGCAAAUAAUCCUCAAAAUAAUUGAAUUCAUCAGACUUGAUGACAGCUAGGCUUUUCUCAGGGUCCGCCGACUGCUCUCUCACUUGGAGCCCAGCUAUGUGAUACCUGGAAGUCCUGCCAUGAAGAGCUCCAUAAAACAAUGUCAUCUCACAUCGAACAUCUCCUUGAAGAAGCCAUCACGUCCUCGGCAUCUUGGAGCUGAAGACAUUGCUGCCCCCAACAACAGAGAAAGGACAGGAAGAGUCGGCAGCAACGUACAGUACAUAGAUUGACCUUCCUACACUGUACUGCAAGGGCCCGUUUCAUCUCCAGGACCAGGACGCUCCUUACAUCAGCCAAGUUGGAUAAAAGUCGGGACUAAGAUGUCAUAUGAAUAAAGCAGAGCGGAAUCUCCAAAAGCAAUUUUUCUUCAAAGAACACAAAUAAUUUGUUGCCAUCAUAAAACAUGUUAACUCUGCAUGGUAACUGUAAAAAUAAGUUCACCACAAACAUUAAAACAUCAAAACAAUAAACACUGACGUCAAAGGCACAAUAGAAAUGGUUAUGUGGCGCAGCUGCACCGAAUGAUUUUUUUUUUAUAUUAUUGUUUGUCAGUUUAAGUGUAAAAUGAAGUGAA